GCUCAUAUGGUGCAAUGGUAGUACGCUCUAACUACUCUCGUGUUGGUAAGCUGGUAAUUAGAGAGAGGCGGUUCGAAUCCGUCGGUGGGCA